CCAACCCAUGUGACGUUACCAAUCUGUUGCCUCGGCGGGAUUCUCUGCCCCGGGCGCGUCGCAGCCCCGGAUCCCAUGGCGCCCGCCGGAGGACCAACUCAAACUCUUUUUUCUCUCCGUCGCGGCCUACGUCGCGGCUCUGUUUUAUUUUUGCUCUGAGCCUUUCUCGGCGACCCUAGCGGGCGUCUCGAAAAUGAAUCAAAACUUUCAACAACGGAUCUCUUGGUUCUGGCAUCGAUGAAGAACGCAGCGAAAUGCGAUAAGUAAUGUGAAUUGCAGAAUUCAGUGAAUCAUCGAAUCUUUGAACGCACAUUGCGCCCGCCAGUAUUCUGGCGGGCAUGCCUGUCCGAGCGUCAUUUCAACCCUCGAACCCCUCCGGGGGGUCGGCGUUGGGGAUCGGCCCCUCACCGGGCCGCCCCCGAAAUACAGUGGCGGUCUCGCCGCAGCCUCUCCUGCGCAGUAGUUUGCACACUCGCACCGGGAGCGCGGCGCGGCCACAGCCGUAAAACACCCCAAACUCUGAAAUGUUGACCUCGGAUCAGGUAGGAAUACCCGCUGAACUUAAGCAUAUCAAUAAGCGGAGGAA
rnacentral:rRNA from 1 species